CCUACGGGAGGCAGCAGUGGGGGAUAUUGCACAAUGGGGGAAACCCUGAUGCAGCGACGCCGCGUGGGUGAAGAAGCGCCUCGGCGCGUAAAGCCCUGUCAGCAGGGAAGAAAAUGACGGUACCUGAAGAAGAAGCCCCGGCUAACUACGUGCCAGCAGCCGCGGUAAUACGUAGGGCGCAAGCGUUAUCCGGAUUUACUGGGUGGAAAGGGGGCGCAGACGGCGAGGCAAGCCAGGAGUGAAAGCCCGGGGCCCAACCCCGGGACUGCUCUUGAAACUGCGUGGCUGGAGUGCAGGAGGGGCAGGCGGAAUUCCUGGUGUAGCGGUGAAAUGCGUAGAUAUCAGGAGGAACACCGGUGGCGAAGGCGGCCUGCUGGACUGCAACUGACGUUGAGGCCCGAAAGCGUGGGGAGCAAACAGGAUUAGAUACCCUAGUAGUC
rnacentral:rRNA from 1 species